GAUGUAAUCAAGUUAAGAUGCGGUCUGCUGGAUUAGGGUGGGCCCUAAAUCCAAUGACCGGAGUCCUUAUAAGAAGAGACACGGAGACUCAGACACACAGACACACACACAGGAGAGCGUCGUGUAACGAUGGAGGCAGAGAUUGGCGUGGUGCAUCUACAAGCCAGGGAACACCAAAGAUUGUGGGCCACACCAGAAGCCCCUAGUGUGUGGUACUUCGUUAACAGCAGCCCCAGGAAACUAAGGCACCUCUAAAGCAAGAGUGUGAGAAAUGACAAAGCUCAGGCCUGGCCCUCGCUCUGUCUCUGACUCUCUCAGGACAUAUGCCUUUGGAGUCCUAGCACCACGUAAGAAGUCCAGCAGCCCUGAAGCCACCAUGCUGUAGGGACCACCGGAGAAGAGACACCUGAGGAGCCCCAGCCAUUCGAGGCUUCUCAGGCCAAGCACUGGACAUGCGGGGGGAGAAGCUUUCCAGAUGACCUAAGCCCCAGCUGCCGUCUCCUACAACCUCGCGGGUCACCCUGAGUGGGAACAGCCCAGCCCAGCUCAGCCACUCCUGACUCUGUGACCCUCGGAGACAAUGACGUCUAAUGAAUGAUGACUGCUGUUUUAAAAUUUACUUUUAUUUUUAAUUGUGGUAAAAAACACAUGACAUAAAAUUUACCAUGUGAGCCAUAUUUUUUCCUUUUGAGGAAGAUUAGUCCUGAGCUAACAUCUGCCGCCAAUCUUCUUCUUUUUGCUGAGGAAGACUGGCCCUGAGCUAACAUCCAUGCCCAUCUUCCUCUACUUUAUAUGUGGGACGCCUGCCACAGCAUGGCUUGCCAAGCAGUAUGUAGGUCCACACCUGGGAUCUGAACCGGUGAACCCCAGGCCGCCGAAGUGGAAUGUGCGAACUUAACUGCUGAGCCACCGGGCCAGCCCCACAUCUGAGCCAUUUUUGAAUGUACAGUUCGGUGGUAUUAAGAAUACUCGGUUUGCUCUACAACGAAUCUUCAGAAUUUUUCCAUCUGGCAGAAGUGAGACGCUGUACCCAUUAAACAGCAACUCCCCGUUUCCGCUCCCCCCUCCCUAGAAACCGCCAGUCUGCUUUCUGUCUCUAUGAAUUUGACUACUCUGGGAGCCUCAGAUAAUUGGAAUCAUACUGGAUUUGUUUAUUUGGAUCUGGCUUAUUUCGUUGAGCAUAAUGCUUUCAAACAUCAUCCAUGUUGUGAUGAACUUCCUUUUUAAGACUGAAUAAUAGUCCAUUGUAUGUGUAUGCCACAUUUUGUUUAUCUGCUCAUUCAUCCACGGACACUUGGGUUCCUUCCACCUUUGGGCUCUGGUGAACAAUGCUUUUAUGGACAGAGUGUGCAAAUAGAUUACUGUUAUAUUAAGCGACUAAGUCUGGGGGUGGAUUGUUCACAACAAUAGAUAACUCGAAUGUGGCAAGGUUGUUGUACACCAACCACACCUGCUUGCCUCUGGGCAGGACAACAU
rnacentral:lncRNA from 1 species